rnacentral:misc_RNA from 1 species
UACGGUUAUCGGCGGCAGCAGGCGAUAAAAGUCGCACGGCGCCGCUGCUGCACCGCACCCGCCGCACACCCAUCGAGAAACACCAUCAGCGAUUCGUAUUGUCUUUGUGACGGCAUUCCUCUCUUCCCUCGACCGACGGCCUACACGGCCACCUCCACACAUACCUCCUUAUCACCCUUUCUCUCUCUCUCAGCCACGUGGCCGAGUCACGUUUCGAAUUCGCCGUCUUUCUGGUCACGCACGCACGCACACACACGCCCUCUUCUUCUGAUCGUCAUUAUUGGUUCUCUUCCUCCAACUCAGACGUUCGUCACUCGUUCUCCUUUCUACACCUCUCUUCUUCCUUUUUCUUCUCGCUGGCGACACCCACACGCAUAUAAAUCCGUGGCCAGCAUGUCUCACAUGACCGCCGAUCUCGAGUACUUCAAGUGCGACAUGUGCGGGGUGUACAUGCAUCGAGACAUCUUCUGUGAUCAUCGACGGGACUGCCACGGUCUGGGUAGCACGCAGCUGAAGCGCGGUGAGUGCCAGCGGAUUGCCGAAGCGCUCGGGCGGGAGACCCGCGAGCUGCUGCUGAGAAAGGAUGGCAGUGGCAUGCGUGCGGCCUCUUCGAGCCAAGGUAGUACACACACUCAGACUGGCGCUGCUUGCACGACCACAGUGACUGCUGGGGAACGCAAAGACCUAGAAGCGCAUGCUGAGUCGACCAGGUAUGUCGAAGGAGCGGCGGCGGCGUCCUCCGGACACGUGCCGCUCUCAUCUUCUGCUGCUGUGUCGAGCGUCCGUGCCGGCGGCGCAGUGCCAAUCAGUUUGACGCUGUCGACGAAGGCGAUGGAGAAGCGGCAGGAGGCGCGAACGCGGCGCGCCGUGUCGGAUCGCUAUCAAGCCGGUGUUGAUGCGAAGAUCAGCUCAUUGCUGACGGAGGGCAAAAAGGCGGCAUUGCUAGACUUCUUGAAUUCUUGAGAGAAGAGCGAGCGCCUGCACUUGCUUCCCAGGUCCUGAGAAGGACCACACGUGUGCGUGUGUGUUUGUCGUUGAUGUAGAGUACUUUAUGCGUUGGUCCUAGCCGUGUGUGUGUGCGUGCGUGUGUGUGUUUUUCGGCGCGAGCAAGGCGUUGACCCCAUUCUCUGUAUGCCUUCGUCCUCCUCCCUCGCUGUCCUUCUAUCGCUGUUCGCUCACCGUCACGUCCUUGCCCUUCCCCUCUGCGCUCCUCUCUGGGCGUCACGAUAGGGCGGGGAGAGGCUCAGGACACUUGGUGGUGCAGGGGUGCAGGUGCUGACGAGCAGAAACAC